rnacentral:rRNA from 1 species
UGCAUAUCCAAUAGCGGAGGAAAAGAAACCAACAGGGAUUGCCUUAGUAGCGGCGAGUGAAGCGGCAAAAGCUCAAAUUUGAAAUCUGGCACUUUCAGUGUCCGAGUUGUAAUUUGAAGAAGGUAUCUUUGGGUCUGGCUCUUGUCUAUGUUUCUUGGAACAGAACGUCACAGAGGGUGAGAAUCCCGUGCGAUGAGAUGUCCCAGACCUAUGUAAAGUUCCUUCGAAGAGUCGAGUUGUUUGGGAAUGCAGCUCUAAGUGGGUGGUAAAUUCCAUCUAAAGCUAAAUAUUGGCGAGAGACCGAUAGCGAACAAGUACAGUGAUGGAAAGAUGAAAAGAACUUUGAAAAGAGAGUGAAAAAGUACGUGAAAUUGUUGAAAGGGAAGGGCUUGAGAUCAGACUUGGUAUUUUGUAUGUUACUCUCUCGGGGGUGGCCUCUACAGUUUACCGGGCCAGCAUCAGUUUGAGCGGUAGGAUAAGUGCAAAGAAAUGUGGCACUGCUUCGGUAGUGUGUUAUAGUCUUUGUCGAUACUGCCAGCUUAGACUGAGGACUGCGGCUUCGGCCUAGGAUGUUGGCAUAAUGAUCUUAAGUCGCCCGUCUUG